UGGGAGCUCGAUUAAGUGAAAGUCAGGGAUUU
rnacentral:piRNA from 1 species